GCACCGCCGUCCGCGGGCUGAGCUUCAGUGACACCGAAGGGCACUGGCCAACAUGUCAAAACAGUUUUGAUUCCGUGAAGCAAAGGGCGCACAAGGUCUAUUGCAAGCUCAGGUGAAGUCGUGGGACUCCAAAGGUAGUGGCUUUCUUGCUGCUGGUCGAUUUGCAUUACAGAGGCCGUUUACUUUCAAUUCCACUUUUACAAAAGUAGUCAAGCUCUGUAUUUUACAGGAAAUUGCUUUGGAGAUGAGGAAACAAACUUACGGAGACCUAAGAGACUGAAGACAUCUGGCUUGGACUACUCUGAUGGUAAAAUUGAAAGUACACCUAAAUUUGCUUUGUUACAGUAUUCUCUUCAGAGGACAAGAGAAGAUGUUACAUUCUCUGCAUGAGGACAAUUCUGCAGCAUCAAAAUCGAAUAAUAUUUGUUUUCUGGCAGCAGAAUUUUGUAUCAUAUUUCUAAAGACAGUAAGCACUUGGGUGGACGUCAAUGAAUACUAAACACUAAUUGAUCUGAUACAGCCGUAUGCACAUACACAGAUAUACACAGUGGCUUGU
rnacentral:lncRNA from 1 species